CGCGGGCUUCAAGCCAGAAGGACGUAAAAAGAAACGUUUUUUUAAGAAGAAAAUAGAUCUCUACAACUGAAAAUUUGCACACUAUUUCUUGAAUC